AACUCUUGAUACUUCUUUGAAUCUCCUGCUUGGCAAACACUCCAGCUCCUGAGCAAUGGGAGGAAUGAUGGAAAGGCACUUCUGUCUUCAAAUCAAGCCAGUAACUCUUCUGAGGUUGCAUAGAUCUGCUCUAGAAUGGGGAUAUUACUGUUCAUAUGUUCAUGACAGCAGUGGAUUUUCACCCAAAUAUGCAUGUGUGAAAGAAAGAGAGAGGGGGAAGAAAGAUGUUAGAACAUGUCACUGGUAAAUACAGCCCAGGAGAAGGGACAGAACCAGUCUAAAUGAUUUCAAUAUCCAGUCUAAAGUGAUAUUGAGAGUGUUCAAUAGAAGGGGGAUGAAAUCAGGGAGCCCUGAAGGCUCAGAGGAGGCCACAAAUCUCUGGAUGACUCGAUGGAUCCUUUUGGAGUCAUCCCACCUGACCUUAACCUGUCUUAUUUAACCUGCAGGCUGCUGGUAAG